CCCCUCGAGAGUGGCGAACGGGUGAGUAAUAUAUCGGAACGUGCCCAGUCGUGGGGGAUAACGUAGCGAAAGUUACGCUAAUACCGCAUACGAUCUCAGGAUGAAAGCGGGGGACCGUAAGGCCUCGCGCGAUUGGAGCGGCCGAUAUCAGAUUAGGUAGUUGGUGGGGUAAAGGCUCACCAAGCCAACGAUCUGUAGCUGGUCUGAGAGGACGACCAGCCACACUGGAACUGAGACACGGUCCAGACUCCUACGGGAGGCAGCAGUGGGGAAUUUUGGACAAUGGACGCAAGUCUGAUCCAGCCAUUCCGCGUGCAGGAUGAAGGCCCUCGGGUUGUAAACUGCUUUUGUACGGAACGAAAAGGUCUCUCUUAAUACGAGGGGCUCAUGACGGUACCGUAAGAAUAAGCACCGGCUAACUACGUGCCAGCAGCCGCGGUAAUACGUAGGGUGCAAGCGUUAAUCGGAAUUACUGGGCGUAAAGCGUGCGCAGGCGGUUAUGUAAGACAGAGGUGAAAUCCCCGGGCUCAACCUGGGAACUGCCUUUGUGACUGCAUAGCUAGAGUACGGUAGAGGGGGUUGGAAUUCCGCGUGUAGCAGUGAAAUGCGUAGAUAUGCGGAGGAACACCGAUGGCGAAGGCAAUCCCCUGGACCUGUACUGACGCUCAUGCACGAAAGCGUGGGGAGCAAACAGGAUUAG
rnacentral:rRNA from 1 species